CCUACGGGAGGCAGCAGUGGGGAAUAUUGGACAAUGGGGGCAACCCUGAUCCAGCCAUGCCGCGUGUGUGAAGAAGGCCUUCGGGUUGUAAAGCACUUUUGUUGGGGAAGAAACCGGCCGGGUUAAUACCCUGGUUGAAUGACGGUACCCAAAGAAUAAGCACCGGCUAACUUCGUGCCAGCAGCCGCGGUAAUACGAAGGGUGCAAGCGUUACUCGGAAUUACUGGGCGUAAAGCGUGCGUAGGCGGUUUGUUAAGUCUGCUGUGAAAGCCCUGGGCUCAACCUGGGAACUGCAGUGGAUACUGGCGAGCUAGAGUGUGUCAGAGGAUGGUGGAAUUCCCGGUGUAGCGGUGAAAUGCGUAGAGAUCGGGAGGAACACCAGUGGCGAAGGCGGCCAUCUGGGACAACACUGACGCUGAGGCACGAAAGCGUGGGGAGCAAACAGGAUUAGAUACCCUGGUAGUCCACGCCCUAAACGAUGCGAACUGGACGUUGGGCACACUUAGGUGCUCAGUGUCGAAGCUAACGCGUUAAGUUCGCCGCCUGGGGAGUACGGUCGCAAGACUGAAACUCAAAGGAAUUGACGG
rnacentral:rRNA from 1 species